AAUCAACGCUGGCGGCGUGCCUCAGACAUGCAAGUCGAACGAUUAAACUUUCCUUCGGGAAAGAUAUAAAGUGGCGCACGGGUGAGUAACACGUAGGUAAUGUACCUUUGGGUGGGGAAUAACUUAGGGAAACUUAAGCUAAUACCGCAUAAUGCGAUAACUUCUUCGGAAGAUUUUUGUUAAAGAUUUAUCGCCUGAAGAGCAGCCUGCGGCAGAUUAGCUAGUUGGUAAGGUAACGGCUACCAAGGCUACGAUCUGUAUCCGACCUGAGAGGGUGGUCGGACACACUGACACUGAA
rnacentral:rRNA from 1 species